rnacentral:rRNA from 1 species
UAUUGUUCGCCAGAGUACUACAAGCGACUAGCUUAAAACCCAAAGGACUUGGCGGUAUCCCACACCCACCUAGAGGAGCCUGUUCUAUAACCGAUAACCCCCGUUCAACCUCACCACUUCUUGCCAUUACCGUCUAUAUACCGCCGUCGUCAGCUCACCCUGUGAAGGGCUAAAAGUAAGCAAAAUGAAUAAAACUUCAAAACGUCAGGUCGAGGUGUAGCAAAUGAAGUGGAAAGAAAUGGGCUACAUUUUUUUAUAAAAACACACGAAUGGUAAACUGAAAAACACCUAAAGGUGGAUUUAGCAGUAAGAAGAGAUUAGAGUGCUCUUCUGAAAUUGGCUCUGGGAUAAGCACACACCGCCCGUCACUCUCCUCAAUAAAUAAAUUACUUUUUUAUAAAUACACUUCUUCGACAAGAGGAGGCAAGUCGUAACAUGGUAAGUGUACUGGAAAGUGCACUUGGAAU